AACGAACGUUAGCGGCGCGCCUAACACAUGCAAGUCGCACGAGAAAGGGCUUCGGCCCCGGUAAAGUGGCGCACGGGUGAGUAACACGUGGGUAACCUGCCCUCGAGCGGGGGAUGACAUUCCGAAAGGAGUGCUAAUACCGCAUAAGACCACGACCUCGAAAGAGGAUGGGGUCAAAGCUGGCCUCUAUACAUAAGCUAGCACUUGAGGAUGGGCCCGCGGCGCAUCAGGUAGUUGGUGAGGUAACGGCUCACCAAGCCUAAGACGCGUAGCUGGUCUGAGAGGAUGAUCAGCCACACUGGAACUGAGACACGGUCCAGACUCCUACGGGAGGCGAGCAGUGGGGAAUCUUGCGCAAUGGACGAAAGUCUGACGCAGCGACGCCGCGUGAGUGAUGAAGG
rnacentral:rRNA from 1 species